rnacentral:tRNA from 1 species
UGGGAUUUAGCUCAGCGGCAUAAGCACCUGCCUGGCAAGCAUGAGGUUGUGAGUUCGAUUCCCGGUAUCACAA